ensembl:lncRNA
GUUUCCACUUAGCGGAGGACUGGGGGGGAUCCAGACACUGACAACGGGAAAGGGAGAAUGUAGAAACAAAUGGAAAGAGAGAAGAAGAUGAAAAAAUCGGUGCUUUCUGCUGUCUUUGAAAUAAAACACGUGGUUUUCAAAAUGGUGACCUUUUCCAAACGGCCUUCAGAAAAGUGGGUCAUUUUGUUCCUCAGAAGCCGUGCUUGACAAGUGUGACUGGAGAAAGUGCCAUGGAGGACAGCCAUGGCUUUGGGGACAGGUCCAGCAGCGCUCCCCACGUGUCCAUCACAUCCAUCUCCAGCUGCCAAGAAGGCUUUCUUCAGGCUUCCUUUAUGCAUGCCUCUCCUCCAGAGCUCAGUGUGGAAAUGAUAUAUGCAGCUCGUUCACCUGCCAAACCACGGCUCUCUCAAAAUAUCAGCAGAAUGAGAGCGGGCCUUGCAGCGUAUGAUUUGCCCAAGACCACACAGGAAGUCUGUGGCCAAGCUGGAAAUCAAGCCCAUCACUCCCGGCUCUGGGGCUGUGGCCCCGCUGCAGGCUCGGGGCCAUCCUGGGACCCGUCCCCAGGCAGACAGCGAGGGAAAGCCCAGAAAUGCUGUGUGCAUUGAGAAAGCACCAGAAGGAACAGCUCACAUUCCUUUCCCAGCCUAGAAGUUCCCAACCCUCAGGGACUCAACGUAACCAAGUCCUGGAGCCACUUCUGCAGAACACAUAUUCUUGGGAGCUGGGAGAAGACGCUUCCCUGAGCCACAGUUUGAAGGUGUCCCUGGGGACAAUUUCUGCUGUUCACAGGUUACCAACGAUCGGCAGAGCAGGAGUAAUUCAUCUGUGUGGGGAACCUGCGUUUGACCUGCUGAGUAGUAAGAAAAUACCUACAUCAAAAACCUUUUAUUUUUUUCAGGAUAAAAUUCAGAGUUGAAGCCCCCCUCCCCACUCUGCAGAACUUUGAUGAACAAAUGCAAAAUCUGAGGAAAAGAGAGUCAUUUGUUUAUAAAAUGUUGAUUAAAUCCCAUUAUUCUGGCUGUACUACUAACAUUAAUACCAGGUCUGUUGGUCAUAACUCUUUCUCAAAUUGCACAUAAUGGGCAGUCAAGAUCAAGAUCAGUUGCCCCUGAGCCAAGCAGACCAGGAGACCACCAGGACUACUUCUUCCAUGACUGCCCCUAUUGAUGGGAUUGUUGCAGAAGGGGUAUCAUGAGG